rnacentral:tRNA from 1 species
CCUUCGAUAGCUCAGUUGGAAGAGCGCGAGACUGUAAUGGAUACAUACCAUCUUGAGGUCGCUGGUUCGAUCCCGGCUCGAAGGA